UGAUCUCGGCCCAAUCUCAGCUGGCAACUGUGAGUGCUGUGUUGGGAAUUGCCCACGGGAGUCACUGGGAUUAGGCUGUGAGCA
rnacentral:pre_miRNA from 1 species